GAUUAUUAAAAACAAUCUUUUCCUUCUACUAUACAAUCACAUGACUAUCAAAAGUAAUGUCAGUGAGACCCUUUUCUAAACUGUAAUGUGCUGUUCAAAUGUGAAAUUAUCACCUAUUAGAACUUUAUCUUAAUGGAACAAGGUUUCUUGCCAAGUGAUAGGUUCUCUUUCACUUGAGUCACAAUGGUCAUUCACACUGGGCCUUCCACUUUAGCUGGAGGUUAGGAUGAGUGCUCUCAAGGGUCUCCUCAAACUGGGAGAUCAUCUGGUUUUAUUCACGUGAAACUUUUCAUUUUGCAGAAAAUAAUUACAGUGAGAGGUGAAUUUGCUGAAGUCAACUUGCCACUCUGACUGGGAGGUUGAAACCAUCUCUGGGAAACCCAAUGAGAGUCCCACCAUUAUUUGGCUACUUGACUGAUCUAGGAUCCAGGUGCCAGUUUAUCAUCGUAGACACACAGAGGAAGCAAAUCUCGAUUCACUCCUAUGGAGUGAGCAUCACUUUUAUCUUCAUUUUACAGCUGGGGAGUCAGAGACAGAUUUGUCUGAUCCCAUACUUUCAGGAAGGCAUGCUGGAGACAGGCAGUAAACAAGACAGCCAAGUUCUCUAUCCUUAUUUCAUUGUGGGAGAGAGAACCAAUCAAAGAUCACAAGGAGACAGGAUGAAAGAAGGAAACCAGCCAAGUUACUACUAAGUAGCGCAACUGAGAGAUAUCUGUAUUAUCUACUGACCUUAUGAUGGCAUCAGUAGAGAUGGAAGGAUGCGAAUAAAUAUGAGAAAUGCUUGGAGGCUGAACACAAGUAGUGUAAUUUGUGUAUUAUGUUUGUUUGUGUUAUAUUGUUUUAUGUUUCAUAUCAGUGAUGUUACUUAAAAUAUGCUUAACCACAUAUCUCUAUUAAAACCAAAUAUUAUUUGCUCUUCAUCAUUGUAAAUUUUUAAGU
rnacentral:lncRNA from 1 species